rnacentral:misc_RNA from 1 species
GGAUUUUGUACAUUCAUUAACACCCUACUUACUUAUUAGUACUACUAAGGGUUUAUACAUUUGAUCAAAUCGAUCACUUAUGUACAAAACCGGAUUUCAUCAAAAAUAAUUUAAGCGCCCACGGGUGUUGCCAUGAGAACGGAAUCUACGUCAUUUCGGCUUCGAUUGAUCAUUUCAUCAUUACCGUUCGAUUCUUUGUUCACCCAUAUCUCUGGAAUUGCUUGUACCAGAUUAUGCACAGUCUCCACCACGUAAUCUGCCUCCUUACUUUUCACUGUCUUCCCCACCAAAACGGUACGGAGGCCGAGGGCUUUUCCGGCAGCGAUGUUGCGGACGUUGUCGUCAAGAAACAAAGUGCGACGGGGGUCAACAUCGGCGACGUCAAGAGCGAUUCUCAUGGCGUCCAUUGAUGGCUUCAAAAGGAUCGGAAACUCGUUCAGCCGAGUCGCCUUUGGGAGAUUUGGGUUCAUCGUCUCGAAACAUAUGAUCUUCUCAAAACAAUCCUCUAAACCGAGUCGGCCCAGCACUUCAGUUGCGUGAUUCAUAUCGGAGUUUGUGAAUAUGAUUUUUCUUUGAGGAAUGGUGAGUAAGAGGCGCCGGAGCUGAAAGUCUUGUUUGAUCCGAUCGUACGGCAACCUCCCGUGCACGAAACCAUGGUAAUCAUCGGCUUUGAUGUCAUAGCCCAAUGCUCGCAAACCAGCCAGGGUGCUGCCGUAUGUUUUAAAAAGCUCUGUUCGAAGAAUGGGAGCUUGGGUUUUUGGGAAUCCACAUUUCUCGAUGAGAAAAUCUUCAAUGUUUUUCUUGCAAGCAGCAGCAAUUCCAGUGUUGAAUGGGUACAGAGUAUCAUCUAAGUCGAAAAUGAGGCAGUCGAAAGAAGAAGCCAUGGAUGAAAACAGAGAGAAAAUGAGGAAAACAGAGAGGAAGAAGGAGCAAUAGAAAAACAGAGAGAAAAUGAGGA